rnacentral:rRNA from 1 species
AACGAACGCUGGCGGCAGGCUUAACACAUGCAAGUCGAACGCCCCGCAAGGGGAGUGGCAGACGGGUGAGUAACGCGUGGGAACGUGCCCUUCGCUUCGGAAUAGUCCCGGGAAACUGGGUUUAAUACCGGAUACGCCGUAUUGGGAAAGAUUUAUCGGCGAAGGAUCGGCCCGCGUUGGAUUAGCUAGUUGGCGGUGUAAUGGACCACCAAGGCGACGAUCCAUAGCUGGUCUGAGAGGAUGAUCAGCCACACUGGGACUGAGACACGGCCCAGACUCCUACGGGAGGCAGCAGUGGGGAAUCUUGGACAAUGGGCGCAAGCCUGAUCCAGCCAUGCCGCGUGAGUGAAGAAGGCCUUAGGGUUGUAAAACUCUUUCGCCGGAGAAGAUAAUGACGGUAUCCGGAGAAGAAGCCCCGGCUAACUUCGUGCCAGCCGCCGCAGUAA